rnacentral:lncRNA from 1 species
GCCCAGCCACCAGAGAGGAGACACUAGCUCCAGGGAGGAGCCCUGCCUUCAGGUGGAGCUCCCUGCCAGGCUGAGAAAACCCUGGAGCAGGCCUUCAAUUCACUCGUGAAGACUGAAGACAAGAAGUCUCUGCAGAGAGGCUCAGAUCCCAGGACAGACACCCCCAUCCGAGGCUGAAGUAGAAGCUGCAGGCUGCAAGACCACAGGCCAGAAAAGCGUGAGACCCUAUGUUCUGGCAAAGAGAGCCUGCAUUAAAGUUGAAGCCACAAGGUCUCUAAGCGGUUCCGCAACUGCUCACAGUGUUUAUCAAGCACAAUGGGAAAAACCUUAACUGUGCACAGGAGAAGCCUGGCAGACACCACCUUAUUCUGGGGACUGAGUUAACCUUGCCUGAAAUGGGACACACAAUACCUUGUGGCUCCAGGGAUGAUGCAUGAAGGCCAAAUAUAGCCUUUGAGGUAUUCUCACCCAAAAUGCACAGCCUGCAUCUAAUUGUCGGGAGACAUCAGACCAACCCAAAUUGAUGGCUGUUCUGCAAAAUGCCUAAUUGUGCUCCUCAGAGGUCUCAGGGGCAUGAGGGACAGGGAAGAGUGGAGAAGCCAGAGGCAUGGCAUCACCAAAAGUAACAAGGGACCCAGGAGGGGGUUCUGGGACAGAAAAGGGAUCUUGAUAGAAAAACGAAGGAAAGCUGAGUGACGUCCAGAGUGUGGUGAAUAGAACACAUUUAGUUUUGAACAAUUGGCAUAGUUAUGCACCACUGGGUUGGACGAGGGGACCCAGGACUCUCAGUGCCACUCCUGCGAUGUUUAUGAAAGUCUGAAAUUAUUUCAAAAUAAAAAGUUAAACCUGGGCAACAUAGCAAGACCCCCUUUCUUAAAAAACAAACAAACAUAAAUGAGCUGGGCAUGGUGGUGUGCAUCUGUAGUCCUAGCUACUUGGGACGCUGAGGCAGGAGGAUUGCUUGAG